GAAGUCUGGAGCAGGUCUCGACAUGGCAACACGCCACGCUGUAUAUAUCUGGCUUCAAGAUAGUCACGACUAACACACGACACGAACAGUUGGAGAGGCCCAAUAUGGUGGCCGAGAAGUCAACAGGCCUAUUCGAUAUAAAAUUCAGUCCAACCAGGGCAGAAAACAGCGCUGGAUUCUAAGGCAACCGGAGGAACACAACAGGCAGAAGGCUGCGUGCGCUGGCGUCUGCAAUGCCUGUCAUUUAUCGCUUCUGUCAGAGGAGCUACCCAAGGAGUAAACAAGAUUUGACAACGAGACUGCACUCGUACACUUCACCAUAAAUUCACUUAAAAGAAUGAAGAAACUUUAUGCGUAUGUGAAAAAAUAGAAGAUUUUGAUGUCUCA